rnacentral:rRNA from 1 species
UCUACGGGAUGCAGCAGUGAGGAAUAUUGGUCAAUGGUCGGGAGACUGAACCAGCCAAGCCGCGUGAGGGAUGAAGGUACAGAGUAUCGUAAACCUCUUUUGUCAGGGAACAAAGGCGGGGACGCGUCCCCGGAUGAGUGUACCUGAAGAAAAAGCAUCGGCUAACUCCGUGCCAGCAGCCGCGGUAAUACGGAGGAUGCGAGCGUUAUCCGGAUUGAUGGGGUUUAAAGGUUGAGCAGGUGGUCUGUUAAGUCAGCGGUGAAAGCCCGGGGCCCAACCCCGGGCCGCCGUUGCAACUGGCAGUCUCGAGUUGGAGAGAGGUAUGCGGAAUGCGCGGUGUAGCGGUGAAAUGCAUAGAUAUCACGCAGAACUCCGAUUGCGAAGGCAGCAUGCCGGCUCCACACUGACGCUGAGGCACGAAAGCGUGGGUAUCGAACAGGAUUAGAUACCCUGGUAGUC